rnacentral:rRNA from 1 species
AUUGAACGCUGGCGGCAUGCCUUACACAUGCAAGUCGAACGCGAAAGGGGGCAACCCUGAGUAGAGUGGCGAACGGGUGAGUAAUGCAUCGGAACGUGUCCUGUAGCGGGGGACAACCCCGAGAAAUCGGGGCUAAUACCGCAUACGUCCUACGGGAGAAAGUGGGGACCGCAAGGCCUCACACUAUAGGGGCGGCCGAUGCCGGAUUAGCUAGUUGGUGGGGUAAGAGCCCACCAAGGCGACGAUCCGUAGCUGGUCUGAGAGGAUGAUCAGCCACACUGGGACUGAGACACGGCCCAGACUCCUACGGGAGGCAGCAGUGGGGAAUUUUGGACAAUGGGCGCAAGCCUGAUCCAGCCAUGCCGCGUGAGUGAAGAAGGCCUUCGGGUUGUAAAGCUCUUUCGGCCGGGACGAAAUCGCUCUCGCUAAUAUCGGGAGUGGAUGACGGUACCGGAAUAAGAAGCACCGGCUAACUACGUGCCAGCCGCCGCCGUAA